UAGGGAAUCUUCGGCAAUGGACGGAAGUCUGACCGAGCAACGUCGCGUGAGUGAAGAGGGUUUUCGGAUCGUAAAGCUCUGUUGUUAGAGAAGAACGUUGGUAGGAGUGGAAAAUCUACCAAGUGACGGUAACUAACCAGAAAGGGACGGCUAACUACGUGCAAGCAGCCGCGGUAAUACGUAGGUCCCGAGCGUUGUACGGAUUUAUUGGGCGUAAAGCGAGCGCAGGCGGUUCUUUAAGUCUGAAGUUAAAGGCAGUGGCUUAACCAUUGUACGCUUUGGAAACUGGAGGACUUGAGUGCAGAAGGGGAGAGUGGAAUUCCAUGUGUAGCGGUGAAAUGCGUAGAUAUAUGGAGGAACACCGGUGGCAAAAGCGGCUCUCUGAUCUGUAUCUGACGCUGAGGCUCGAAAGCGUGGGGAGCAAACAGG
rnacentral:rRNA from 1 species